rnacentral:rRNA from 1 species
GCGUGCCUAAUACAUGCAAGUUCGAGCGGNCUUGAAGCAGAAGCUUGCUUCUCGGUAUGGUUAGCGGCGGACGGGUGAGUAACACGUAGGCAACCUGCCUGUAAGAUCGGGAUAACUACCGGAAACGGUAGCUAAGACCGGAUAACCGGUUUCUCCGCAUGGAGAGACUGUGAAACACGGAGCAAUCUGUGGCUUACGGAUGGGCCUGCGGCGCAUUAGCUAGUUGGUGAGGUAACGGCUCACCAAGGCGACGAUGCGUAGCCGACCUGAGAGGGUGAACGGCCACACUGGGACUGAGACACGGCCCAGACUCCUACGGGAGGCAGCAGUAGGGAAUCUUCCGCAAUGGACGAAAGUCUGACGGAGCAACGCCGCGUGAGUGAUGAAGGUUUUCGGAUCGUAAAGCUCUGUUGCCAGGGAAGAACGCCAAGGAGAGUAACUGCUCUUUGGGUGACGGUACCUGAGAAGAAAGCCCCGGCUAACUACGUGCCAGCAGCCGCGGUAAUACGUAUGGGGCAAGCGUUGUCCGGAAUUAUUGGGCGUAAAGCGCGCGCAGGCGGUUUUUUAAGUCUGGUGUUUAAUCCCGAGGCUCAACCUCUCUUUCGCACCGGAAUACUGGGAGACUGGAGUGCAGGAGAGGAAAGUGGAAUUUCCACGUGUAACGGUGAAAUGCGUANAGAUGUGGAGGAACACCAGUGGCGANG